ACGUAGGGGGCUAGCGUUGUCCGGAAUCACUGGGCGUAAAGGGUUCGCAGGCGGAAAUGCAAGUCAGAUGUAAAAGGCAGUAGCUUAACUACUGUAAGCAUUUGAAACUGCAUAUCUUGAGAAGAGUAGAGGUAAGUGGAAUUUUUAGUGUAGCGGUGAAAUGCGUAGAUAUUAAAAAGAAUACCGGUGGCGAAGGCGACUUACUGGGCUCAUUCUGACGCUGAGGAACGAAAGCGUGGGUAGCAAACAG
rnacentral:rRNA from 1 species